rnacentral:rRNA from 1 species
GAGCCGCAGUAUAUUGACUGUGCGAAGGUAGCAUAAUAGAUUGUCUUUUAAAUGGAGGCUUGAAUGAAAGGUUGGACAAAAUAUCAUCUGUUUCUUAAAUAAUUAUUGAAUUUGACUUUUAAGUGAAAAGGCUUAAAUAAAUUAAAAAGACGAUAAGACCCUAUAAAUCUUUACAAAAUGUUGUGCUGGGGCGGCGUAGAUAUAUAAAUUAACUGUCUAUAAUAUAAAAUCAGUAAUUACUGAUUAAUAAAUUUGAUCCUUAAAUUAGAUUGAAAGAUCAAGAUACUUUAGGGAUAACAGCGUUAUUUUUUUUGAGAGUUCAUAUCGAAGAAAAAGUUUGCGACCUCGAUGUUGAAUUAAAGUUUCUUUAUGGUGCAGCAGCUAUAAGAGAGAGUCUGUUCGACUUUUAAUACUUU